AAUAGUCUAACAAAUUAGCAACAGGGCCACCAAGAGAGUACAGUCAACCCUGAUUCAGAGAUGUCUCUGUUUAUCAGUUUUCUGCCAAUCAUUAAAACAAAAAAGGUGAAACAUGCAAUUAUAGACAAGGAGACAGAACUCCUAGUUCUUCCAUCCUAGCUGAAGCAGAAGAGUUUUAAUUGCUUGGGAAAAUAAGACUUGUGUUUU
rfam:Tarsius syrichta cont1.13037, whole genome shotgun sequence.